UUAGGGACACCAAGCGACGCCCUACCCAGAUAGGAUCUAGCGGAUCUGGGGACAAACCGCUUUCCCAAGUUGUAAGACAGCAUGAGCACCCUUAAGGAGUCCCCAGGCUGUUGGUUUGGGGACGUGGGUCUUGCCUCGCUGGUUUAUCAUGCAGCCCUUGACUACUGGGGACCACUGAAACCCUGCGUGGUGGCUUCCCUCACUUGAUCCGGGGUAAGUUCACAGAAGGUGUCAGUUCACACAGUGGUAGCGUGGGAAUUAAUGGUAACUGGAGAAGCUCUCCUGAUGCAGCGGCCCUUUUCGCGGCUGCGGCUGCGGCUGCGGCUGCAGCUGCCAAGUUAUUUCCUUUUGUGGCUUCCGAUUCCCCACUUCGAUGGCCGUUACUCGCUUGGGGCCCUGCACCAAUCCUAGCACUUUAAGGAUCUCUGGCCCAUGUUUGCGUUCCAUGGCUCGCUCUGCAGAGCUCUGUGGCCAGCAACCACUGCUGGGCAAGCAUGGCUAGUAGGCCCACUGGAAUCGAGGAGCAGGGUAGCUGGGGUUAAGGCCUGACAGGGAUUUAAAGAAAUCUGAGGGGAAUCUAGCAGCAGGGCUUGAUAUUGUAGUAUCCUAUUCUGGGAAGCCGGAGAUGUCCUUCAGUCUCCAGGAGGCGACAGACCUGAUGGGCGAGAGGGGCGGCCCACACCCUCCUAGGUGGGCCCAGAGCCCGUUUUCCAGCUUUCUUGAUUGAACGGGCAGGUGGCAGCUACAGCUGUCCAGCACGGGGGCCAUCCUUUCACCACGGUGUCCAGCUUGCCCUAUUCAAUUUGGUCCGUUCCCGUAGUUGGGCACCCGUACUUUAUCAGAGAGGCUUCUAGCCGUGAAUCCAAAGUUAGGGAUCCAAAGGCGGCCAAACCCAGCCGUCCCCUUUAGGCACCUCAUAUCCGUUACUGGCUAGGAAGCUGAACAUACUUAACUCACAUCUGACUCUAUCCUCCUGGGGAUAGAAUCACACCCCGCAGGAUUACGCUUCUCCCCGCCCCCAUUUUCCAUGCCAAUUGCAAGUUCGGGUCGUGACCUGUGCUCCUGACAAAGCGGCCGCGAGCCCGCCCGUUCCCACCCGCCUCCCCUCCUUGGGUUCGAGGGCUCUGAUAGAGCGGCUCACACAACUCGGGAGAACCUCUCCCUUCUGAACAGCCACAGGGAAGAGGCGCAUAGAGCAAAACAUGUGUGGCGGGGAGGAGGAGCUCCCGGGGCCUCUCUGGGGGUGCCGCUCUCCCCGAACCUCCACGUGUUCGCCAGCGCGGCAGCUGUCUGAGCGCCGUCCUUUCGCAGUCUGACGGAGACUCCAUCGCCUGGGCAUAGUCGAUUACGGUCAUUGGCCGUUGGCUGCUCAGCGCGACCUUCAGCCCCUCUUGCCCCCGCCCCCGCCCCA
rnacentral:lncRNA from 1 species